rnacentral:misc_RNA from 1 species
UCAGCAUUAAAAGGAUUACAUGCUCUUCUACCUUCUUUUACUCAUCUUCCUGCUUCCUCUCCUGUUCUAACUCUUUACAUGGUUUCGACGAUGCACGUUAAUGGGGUACCGUUUCCGCGUCCGGGUUGUUGGAAAGAACACCAAUUUAUCUUCCUCAGCAGGAGUCCAACUGAAACUUGUUACCAGGUGAUGUAGGAAAACAGAGAGUUCUACCCUAGCAAGCUCAUAUCCAGGGCAUAGCCUUGGCCCUCCUCCAAAUGGAGUGAACACAUUUGCUGGACUUGUUGCUCCUGAAUUGCUCUGCCAUCUCCAUGGAUUGAAAGUUCGAGCAUCUUUAAAGUGAUCAUGAUCUAAAUGUACAGCUCGAAAUGAAGCAAAAACCUUCCAUCCCUUAGGAAUUGUGUAACCUUUUAUAUUAAUGUCUGUCAUUGCUCUUCUAAAUACCCCACUAAUUAUGUU